CUCUGAAUAAAGUAGAGACAUGUGAACAACAGAGAUAGAAUAUGUACACGAACAUGUACAGACAGAUACAAGGAGAUAGGAUUGUUUAUGAGGAGAGAAAUACAGAAAGAAAAGGUAUCAAAGAAAGAUGCUGGGUGCCAUGUUGUAGCGGCUUUUCCUGUCACUGUGACAAAAGCAAGUUAAGAGAAGUUCGUAGAGAAAGAUUUCUCUCUCUCUCUCUCUCUCUCUCUCUCUCUCUCUCUCUCUCUCUCCUUCCUUCCUUCCUUCCUUCCUUCCUUCCUUCCUUCCUUCCUCUCUCUCUCUCUCUCUCUCUCUCUCUCUCUCUCUCUCUCUCUCUCUUUCUUUCUUUCUUUCUUUCUUUCUGGCUCAUCAUCUGAUACAGUUAUAAUGGCCUCUGCCAGUGGUGGUGUCAGGAAGCCUGAGGCAGCUGGUCACACUGCAUCCAGGAUCAGGAAGCAGAAACAGUCAAUGCUCUGCUCAUCUUCUCCUUCGAACCCAAGCCUAAGGAAUGGCACCACCUUCUUCAGGGUGAUUCUUCCAACUCUAAUUCAAUUCAGAUGAUAUCUCAUGGGCACAAACAGAGGCUAAUCUAACGUUAAGUGUCUCUCAUAGUUGUACCUGGAAGCUUGUCUGAGGUGAUCCCAGAUCCUGUAGAGUUGACCAUUCUAACCAUCACACUUUGCCAAGCACAGAAACAAAACAACACCAAGCAACAUCAAAGACAGGUUUACUGGUAUUAACACCCACUCUAACGCGAAAGCAGUUUUGCAUUAGGGUGAAGUUUAUGAAUAUUUAUCAUCUAAGUUAUUGAGGAUAGCCACUGUGACUUUGCUUUCCAGAGAGCAAGUGACAUCUGGAGACAGUUUUAAUUGCAAUUACUGGGCUAUGGAGAGGUGCUAACUGGCAUCUCAUAAAAGACAGGAUGCUAUUAAAUAGCCAACAGCAUGCCAGAGAAUCCACUCUAACAAAUAGUCAUUUAAUCAAAAUGCUAAUAAUGCCAAAGAUGAGAAACUUGGUCCAAAGGAUCACCGUGGUAACAGAGAAAGAUCUUAAAGAUAAAUUAUGUUAUAUAGUUGCAAAAUGGGAGUGUCUAGUUGGCAUAUACUCACACAUGCCCUUAUUAAAAAUGCAAUUAAGUAACAAUAUUAUUGUAGUCAGAAAUCUUUUUAUCUGUCUAUGUGGCACAGUAGGCUUUCAAAGAACAUAGUCAGUCUCAUCAUUCUUAGUAAAUUGGAGGGGACAGCCAUCAGAAGCCUGCCAGUGGAAGGCAAUGGUAUGCUGGCUGGCACAAUCCUUUUCAGAAAGUACCUAGCUGCUGUGAGUAACGAAUGACCUUAAAAUACGAUUAAAGGAAAUAAUUUAAUUAAGUCUGGCUGGGGUUCCAUUUUAUAUUUGCCUUUUCAAACUUUAAUGAAUGCUGGCCCACUUAGUCGUGACAAAAUGUGUGGCUCGAGGAAUUUCUCCUAUCCUUUUUGAGGUACCUAAGGGAUGCGUAUCUGACAAGAAACCAUCGUUUGUCUUGCAGUCAUAAUACUCGAUAUUUAAGUUGGCUUCAGUACGCCACAUUUAGGACCAUAGUGGGAACUUCACCCCAAUGCAUAAAGGAGCCACUGAGAUGAAAGACAUUCCUGGGGGGGGAGGGGCUUUCCUGGAGUCACUUAACAUAACCGUGAGUAUUUCAUGGGUUGCUACAGUACAUUAGUCACAAACAAUCCCAUCAUACGAAGGAUACUUAGUGCAAUUACUGGUGCAUAAUGAAUAUCUGAUCCUAAUUAGACCUAAUGGAUAAAUUAUAAUUCUGUAUUUACUGUGGUUUUUUUUUUUGUUGUUGUUGUUGUUUUUUAGGACACUGACCCAUAAAUAUGAAAAAGAAAGGUUCUGGGGAGAUCGGGUUUUGAAUUGAAGUCAUUUCAACAUGAGCGCUCACACUGUUCCUCAGAGUCAAGUUCACAAUGAUGAAAAGUUAUCUGGAACUCCCUUCAGAGCUAGCUGUGGUUUAAAACCACAGGAAAAUUCCAAAGAGCAUCAGUGUAACCUAUUUUCAUUUUCUCUGCUUACUUUAUCUUCUUUCCUUGGGAAGUUCAAGGUUAAAAUGUACUUUGUUCAAAACAUAAUUUUACAAAUUCUAACAGGGACACUGAUUAGAAAUUUGACCAAACACAAUUCGUGGCUAUUUUUCAGGAUUGUUUACGAGAAUUCUCUAAGAACUAAACACAAGUUACAUGCAACACACUUCCUUCAGUUUCUCUAAAAUUCUGUCUUCCUCAGAGGGCGAGAGCCUCAGCAAAAGGAAGUGUGCGUGUGUAACUAAAAUGAUUCCAAACAGAAGACAAACGUUCCACCCUUUGAUUUUCCCCUGGAUUUUCUCAAAAUCGUAGCACUAUAGAAUGAGUUCUGGUUCAAUGUUAUUCAUUAGCCUUUAAAAUUUUUUUUCUAAGAAAAAUAUAACUUAAUGUAUAAUCACAAAAUCCUUUAUAACACAUUCACAAUUUAUAUUAUUAUAAUCUUGUAAAUCUACAGUUUUACCAAAUGUGUAAUGUUAUCCAACUUCUUACACUCACAAUUUCCAUAUCCUCAUGGCUGAACACCAGAAAAAAGAAAAUAUCCAAUGCAGGUCAGGUGGAGGUUAGAGGCCUCUGUCCUUGGUAAUCAUUUAGAAAUAAGGCUUCUUUCACACAUUGCUCCAGCAUUCUAUAGGUGCUCAGAGACUACCAUCCUAGCUGAACCUAAGGGCAGAUGGGAAGAGGUAGCAACAAGGGCAUUGGGAGGCAGAUUGAUAGGGGAAUGGACCAUUUUCACUGGCUGGGUAUCAGCCAUAGUGGUGGAUGUAACUUGGCUGUGUGCCCAGGAGGAGGGGAAAGGGGGUUCAUUUAAAUGCAUAGCAUCACGUCUGGCAAUUAAAUCACAAGGAGAAAAAAAAAAGUCAUUUGUCUGUAUACUUGACAGCCAUAGAAGCAAUGAUCAGUUCUCUUCCUUAGAGAAUGCUGAUUCUGGCUCGGCUGUGUGUCAAGAUGACCACCCUGUGUACGCUUAGGUAUCCACAAAGCCAGCCAGCCAGACGUCCUGCCUAGGUUCUCUUCGUGCUCGUCUAGGUCUUUGUCCCACUUGGUGACUGGCAAUUCUUGCUUCCCCUCACAGUUAUGGGUGAGAUUUGAUUGUUGUCACCCGUGCCACAUCUAUACAUGGGGAAGAGUCACUGGGACCUGGACUGAAGUCAUGGAUUCUACUGUCAUAUUUAUUUUUGAGACUAGCUAGUGGUUCUCAACCUUCCUAAUGCUUUGACCCUUUAAUACAGUUCAUCAUGUUGUGGUGACCCCCAACCAUAAAAUUAUUUUGUUGCUACUAUGUAACUAUAAUCUUGCUACUGUUAUGAAUCAUAAUAUGAAUAAUAUCUGUUAUGUGACCCCCCAGUUGAGAACCACUGAUUUAAACUCUCUGGAGGGAAAAGUCACAAGAAAACAGCAGAAUCCCAGGGCAUGGACCAAUGUGAAGAUUUAGCUACAAAAGACACCUGUCUAGCCGCAAAGAAUAGUACUUAAAAUAUGGUAAAAAUCCCAGGUCCUUGAUAAUGCUGGGCAUAUGUUGCAGCAGAUAUUGGACAGAGAUGGCACAAUGAAAAUGGCAUUGAGCUCACAAAUAGUAACAGGUUUGAAAAGCCCAAAUGUGAUUAUCAACCAGGGCCUCAAUUACACAUUGACCCACAUUGUAGGGGCCAAAGUUCUCAUUUCAAUGUUUUUAUUGUUUGGUAUUAGAACUAGAGGGAUCUGGUUUUUUGCUGAUUUGUUUUUUCUUUGGACUUCUCCUUUUGAAGGAAACAUGUCACUACUCAUAUCUCAGUAAGGAUAAUUUCUGAUCUCACUUAUUUUAUUAUCUAUCUAUCUAUCUAUCUGUCUGUCUGUCUAUCAUCUAUCUAUCUAUCUAUCUAUCUAUCUAUCUAUCUAUCUAUCUAUCUGGGUAUGUAUGUAUGUAUGUAUUUAUUUGUGUGUGUGACAUACAUGUGUAAUAUAUGUGUGUAUAUGAAAUGUACUCCUUUGUGCUCCCGUGUGUGCGCAUGUGCACGCACACAUGUAAAGUCAGAGGUUGACUCUGGCUAUCUUCCUCUAUCGCUGCCCACUUUAGUUUGUGAGGCAGGGUCUCUCGCAGAACCUAGAGCUUAUCACUGUGGAUAGAAAGGAUGGCCGGGAGGUCCCCAGGCUCCUCCUGUCCUGCUUUAUCAUACUCGGCUUUGAGAGCAGGUCUGAGGAUUUGAACUUAGAAUCUCAUGCUUGCCCAGCAAGGACCUUAUACACGGAUCCAUCUUCCUAUGCCCUGAUUUUAUCUUGAUUGCACACCUAACAACACUGAUGGAAGGAAUCUAACUAGGAGUGCCAGGCAGCAGAUCUGAAAUAAGUUUAUAUCAGUUAAGAUGCAAAACCAAGAGUAAAAAUAAAUAAAAUAAAAUAAAAAAGGCUCCAGACUUUCACAAAUGUUUUAAACAAACUAUCAAAAAAAAAAAAUCAAGCAGCUUGGUAGGAAACAAAUGAAGACAUCUGAGUAUUUUAAUAGUGGGCAGAUUAUCUGGGUCACUGGCUGGUAGAAUGGACAAGGAAUCCCUGGGUCUCUUCAUUCACAGCUUCUUAGAAGGGAGGGUGCUCAAGUAAGUGCCUCUCCAACAUGCAAUUAUCUUGUCCGUGCUGCUAGAGCCAUUACUCAGAUUAGAAGGCGGAGCUUGUGAAAUGGAAAGAUGAGAUUUAGCCACACUAAGGCUUUUUCCUUCCUAUAGUUAGAAGCUAUUUACACCAUAUGGGCUUUUGAUCAUGCAACCUUUUCAAAGUCUUGAACAGGAUACUUUAUGAAGUUUUGUUCUUCUGAUUGAGGGUCCUGACUUUAAGUAGCUUGUUGUCUAAACAGACAGACCCAUCAGUCCACACAACUAAAAUGUAUGCUUCUUUAAGUUACUCCAAACUUUAAGCACCAUAUCCUGGUGAGUCUCUCUGGAACGCUGCAUAGUUUUGAGGGAUGGGCCUGCAAAUCUGUAUUUAGUGUAUAGAUUUAUAACCUACUGAGGUCCCAUUGGGGCCUGAUUCUAUUUCUCCCACUGUUGUUGGAUUUCAGGGGAAUCCUGAGAAGAUGCUUUUUAAAGAAGAUCCAACUCACUAAUGUGUUUCAAGGUCAUUCUAGGUCAUUUCUUCCCCCUUUGACCUCAGUGGGUUCUCUUAUGACCUCAGAUACUUAGAUGGCUCGAAUUUCCUUGAACAUCUGAUUUUUAUUAUAAUAGCAAGUUGGUCAUGAUAGUUAGUUCAUAAUUACCCUCAGAAAUGAGAUGAACUAUCUAUUCAUAGGAAGAAGAUAGACCAGAGCGUUUCCAAUUUCUUGUUUCUUUGCUGUUGUUUGCUUGGCUUUUUUUUUUCAACAAAAAGCAUAUAACAGAGGGCCAAAUUCUACUCUCUGUGUUUUCACUUCUAGAGCCAGUGUUCCUGUUCCUUCUCACCUAUGGCUCAAUAGUAUUCCUAGGCACUCAAAAACUUCAGGAAUGAAGCCUUUCUAUUGGUGUAGCUCCUUGAUGUGUUCCAAGUCCUCAAGCAGUGCUCGGACUUGGACAAUUCUCAAAUUUGGAUGUGUAGGAGGGAGUGACUGUGCCCUGUCACAAAUGACAAGGACGUCAGUACUUCUAAGUUUAGAAGGAAAGCAUAUACAUGAGACGUCAAAAGCCUGAGGGCAAAUCAGAGCUUCUUUCUUAAAGACUUGACGUAGGAUGAAACAAAGCUAUUUCUGCUUUAUACAAUGACAGUGGCAUUCACAUAUCUGCUCUCUUUUUUCUCUAAUUCUGAGGAUUCCAUUUGCAGUCAGGCUCCUAUAACCCAUUUUCAUAUGUAAGGGGGGAAGGUGUUUUAUUUGGCACAUACAGUAACAAAAUGAGGUUUGUGUGUGUGAUGGAGGAAAACGGUAUUGUCCAACGGGCUAUUCUGGAUGACUGACUACACAGUGUGCACAUUUAAUGGCAGUGGGUAGGGAGAACACUGGAUCAACAGUUCACCUAAAAAUCCCUCAUAAUGAAUGAGUAAAGAAGAGAAGACUUAAAUCUCUGAAGUAAAUGAGUUUCCUGGAGGCUGAUAGGGUUUUUUUUUCUCAUUGUAAUGUAAAAAUAUGUAGAAAAUGGACUCAUUCAAUAAGAUCUGAUUUUGUUUUAGAUGGUUACUCUACAAGAUAUUUAAAGCAAUAAAUAUUCAGAGAUUAAAUGUUAUUUUGGACAGAAGUAAGUAGGAAUCAUUACUGUAAUUCUCUAUUUGUACUCAACUCUCAUAUCAAGAGCAAUGAUCAUAGAUUAUAUUAUGUUUAGUUUCCCAGGAAUUGAAAAUGACUUUUAAAAUUUACUCUCCACGGUUUGGCAAACCUUGAGGAAAGAAUACUCAAAAAAAUUAACAGAGUGCCUAAGAGGCAACCUCUGUCUGUAGAGUGGGUCUGUGUAGACAGUGGGACCUUCAGCAAACAUCUGCUAGAACAGUAUCAAAUGCUGGAGAAGCAAUAGCAUGGAAGGUUUCAGCUGUCUGCCACACUGGAGUUCCCGAAAGGACCAAGGUAAAAGGUCAAUGCAGAAAAACACAUCCCUCUCUUGCUGUAUGUAGGUAGUUUUAGUUGAAAACACUUAAUCUUGUUAAAAUAAGUCAGGUCACUUGUCAGUUACAGGAGUGGGGGCAUCAGUAUCAGGAGCAGAAAACUAAAAGCUUAUUAGUAAAACUAAGUAGUGUCAUGAGGUGUCAACACAUAACUGCUUUUGGCACUUUAAGCAAUCAAUGAGCAAAAAUAUUGCAAAAAAAUCAUUAGAGUUACAAAAAUAUUUGUGUGCUUUGACAAUUUGGUUUUUUAAAAUAUUCUAUAUUUAUUAAUAUAUAUGAAUCAUAUGGAUCUUAUGCUUUCAAUAGAUCAAUUUUAUCAAACAAAGGUGUUACCAUUUAGCAUUUAUGCUAUGGUCACCACACUAGCACUCAGUAAUUACCAACAAAGCAAACAAUUCAGGAAGAUUGUUAGUACCGUGGUAGGAGAGUCUGGGGGAAGGGGUUCUCUAAAGCAAGUGGCAGAGAUGGCAUUGGAUCUGUGCUCCAAGCAAAUCACUCUGGACCACACCCUUUCCUCAUGACAGAGCUGGGAAAUGUUGCCAGCUGUGUCUUUUCCCUUAGGAAACAUGGGGCUAUUUAUGCCUAAACUUGAUGCACUAAAUUUACCUUCAUGGCUUGAUGGGGUCACUUUUGGAGGAGUGGCUAAAGCCAGGAGAAUUUGAUAGAUGGUACUGUAUAUGCAAAACUCAUCUCCUUUGAGAAGAUACUGGCAAGUAAUUGCAAAAGUUUAGGCUGGUAGGAGGUGAGAGAAGAUGCAAAGAGUAGUCAGGAUACUAGUAAGAAAUCCUAGCCAAGUGAGUUGCAAGAGCCUUGUAACUAGGUUAAGGGCAAUAUUGAAGAAUCAACGAAUGGUGAGUGACUAAGGAGGAGUGAAGAAAUCUUUUUCAUACUUGUCUACGAUUCCAAUCCUGUGUAACUGGAUGAUCUCAUUAAAAUGAUACAUCCCUAGGUGACAAAGACCAGGGAGGUAGAAGACAGCACAUUCUAAACGUGCUGCGUUUGAGGGACUCAGGAAGCAUUAGUACAAGAACUACUUGGAACUGUGAAUCUGAGUCCUACGGGACAGACCACGGAGAGGGGUAUAAAACCGGAGAGCAUGGAUGCUGUUAGACUCAGGGGCGGUAAUAGGGCUAUAGGCAAAAGAGAGAGCCCAAGGGAGUAACUGUAUGGUUAGGCAAAGAGAGGCCUACCUGAGAGUGGGAUGCAGAUCCUGUGAUCAGACCCUGAAGGAAAAUCAAGAGCUCUAGUGACACAGAGAGCAGGAGAGAAGAGAUGCCAAUAAAGAGCUGGUGCUCCUUAGGGUCUAAUGCCAGCAAUCUAUGUCUUCCAUCAUUCCCAGAAUAUUAUUUCUUAUUAUGUAAUGCUUUGUUCCUCAGUAUUAAUGUCAGCAGCAGGAGGAGAUUCGGGGUUACUCUUCACUUUUAUUUGGAGCUGUAUGAUGUUUCGUGUGCUUGUUUAUUUUUAAAUACUUUUAAUAAACUUCACGAAUAUUGCCUAUGAGGGAAUUAAAAACAUAGCCAACUCUAAAUAAGCCCCUCUGGCAUCUAAUUUUGAAUUAGAGGCUCUUGAACAAUGGCAGAUGCAAAAAUCACUCACACCUUCUUUUUAUUUCUUAAAAGCAAAGCAUGCUUAUGUGCAGAUUGUGUGUGUGUGUGUGUGUGUGAGAGAGAGAGAGAGAGAGAGAGAGAGAGAGAGAGAGAGAGAGACAGACAGACAGAGAGAGACAGAGAGACAGAGAGACAGAGAGAGAGAGAGAGAGAGAGAGAGAGAGAGAGACCUUAAAAAUUCCAGUGGUGAACUCUUACAGCUGAUAAACACUUCCAGGAAAGUCACAAAUCUAACUUGCAAAAUCUAGUAUGUACCAAUACUAUACACCUCCUAUUGCAAAAAGAAACCAGGAGAACAAUAUCCUUCACAAUAUCCUUGAUAGCCUUAAACAAUAUGAAAUAUGUUAGGGUAACUCUAACCAAGCAAGUAAAAGGCUUGUAUGAUAAAACCAACCAACCAACCAACCAACCAACCAACCAACCAACCAACCAACCAACUAACCUUCAGGUCAUUUAAUAAAGAAACGAAAUGUAAUCCCCAUCAAAAUUCCAACACAAUUCUCAGAUCAUGAAGAGACAGUAGUCAGCUUCACGUGGAAACACACAUGCACAUGUGCAUGCACACGUUUACACACAAUCUCAGGAUAGUUCAAACAAUCCUGAUUAAUAAAAGAACUUUUAGAGGUAUCACUAUCCCCAAAUUUCAAGCUGUACUACAGAGCCACAGUAAUAAAAAUCAGUAUGGUAUUGGCACAAGAACACACAUAUCAAUCAGUGGAAUCUAAUUGAAAAUGCAUACAUAAAUUCACACAUCAAUGUAUACCUGAUAUAUUGCUUUUAUAAUGGAGCAAGAAAUAUAUACUGGAAAAGAACACAGCAUCUCAACAAAUGGUCCUGCUCAAACAGGAUGGCUUCAUGUACAAAGGACUUCAAACAUAAGCAUUUGUUCUUGACAAAUAAUUAUGGAAAGUUAUCACUGUCCCCCUGUGCUAUAAAGAAGUGUUGAGUAUAAGUGGUAAUCAGCAGCUGUGUUUAUAUACACUUUGGUGAAUAAAUUAAAUGAUAAGAAAUAUGUUAAAUUGCAAAGUGAAGUCUUUGUUAAACACAUUUUGUAUAAUGUACAUGGUAUGUCUGUACAUAUAGAGCUAUACCAUUGUUUACAAUAGAUUUAUGACAGCUGAUAUAUAAAAAAUAAUUAGGAUUGUUUGUGUGUCCUGGUCACUUUUAGACCUUUAUAGUAUGAGUUAUCUCAAAACAAGAAUCUGUCCUUUUUAUUUCAUUACCACAAAAGCAGUGUUAAAGAGCUUAGACAAUACAUACUCGUUCAUUGCCAGAUUCAGUCUUUAUUGCAAAGUCUCAUGAAGUAUAGUAGAUAAUUAUUUCAUAGCUAAAGAAUAAAUAAUACAUUUAUAACAAUACUAUCUAAAAAAAGAAAUAACAAGCCACAUAAUUGAUCUUGAAUGCAGGUUUUUAAAGCUAUCUGCUUGCACUACACUAGCCUAUUUUAACCUGAAAUUUAUCAUUUAUAGAUGUUUUGCACCCAAGGCAAAAUUUGAAAGAUACAAGAUAAGGGCUGCGCCAUCUGGGUGUCAUUUCGUCUUUGUUAAGUUUCUUGGGAUGCUGCAAGUGAAAAUAAACUGAUAUGUUCUCUCAUCAGAGAAAUGUCCUUUGUAUUUGUUCUACAUUUAAGAUACAUCUGAAACUUAAGAAAUAUAAAAUGAGAAGAUUUUUUUCAUAUUUUAUUCAAAUACUAAAUAAAUUAAAAAGUAAGAAAACAAAGAAUGUCUAUAUGCUUAUAUCUAUAUUGAUACUAAGAUACAAGAUCCUAUUAAUUUAAUUAAAAUUCAAUAUACACUUCUCUAAUCAUAAUCUUGUUCUCUCCCCAAAGGCAUCCCUUUUGUAAACUUGUUACUUGACUAUACAUAUAUUUCUUUAUACUAUGUUGAUGUGGGUUUCUAAUAGAUAACACUUCCAAAUUAAAUUAAUUCUUCCCUGUUUUAUAGUUUUUAAUCUUAAAAGGCUCCAUCAGAUUUUAUUAAUUUUUCCACGUGUACUGAGACGUUUCUAUAGUCAGAAUGUAAAGUUUUAAAUUGAAAACUGUAUGAUUUCCAUCAAAUAGUAAAGGCACAAAAAAAAGAGAAAAAAAAACUGGUGUUAUAAAAAUGUUCUGAUAUUAUUUCAUUCAAUGAAUAUGAAAUGUUAAGACAUUAAAGUGAUCAUCUGUGGUCACAUAGAACAGCAUUUUAUGAAUAAAAUAGUUCAUUCUUGAUCUAUAAAGCCAUUCUUAAGUGGGUAAGUACAGUUGAAUGCUAAAUGUAUUUGAUUUUAAUAUUCAUUAACAGUAUGAAAAGGUCUGCUGUAAAAUGUGUCCUAUGAUACAUAUGUCCUGAUUUGCUCUGAAUAUUGAUUAGAAAAAAGACAUUUUUGGAUGCAUAUUGUGUAUUAUGUAGAUGGAAAUGACUGGUCGCCUUCUUUUGAAUUCCUGUAACAGAAACAGAUGAAAUUCUAUCAAGAGGAAAAAUAUCUUACAACAGUCAAGUGUUCUCGCCUCAGCCAAAUAAUUAUCACUUUGUUUUAGGCUCAAGAUUUUAUAAGCUGUGACCAUCCAUCCAGUGAUGGAGCUUGCCACACAUGACAAAGAGAGAGGGUGCCAAUUUUAAACAAAGCCCGUGACAUGAAAUACAUUCAUGAUGUUGCUCAAAACCAGGAUAACAGUAACAUUGUGUACAUAACUAGCUAUCAUGAAAUAAAAAUUAAAUUUAAGAUCUGGGGAGAUUACUCCAUCUGUAAAGAGCUCAUUGCACGGGCUUGAGGACUUGAGCUGGAUCCCAGAACCUGUGUAAAAAGCCUGGCUCGGAGGGAAGCUGGGACAAGAAGAUGCUUAGAUCUUGCUUACCAGCUAGUCUUAGCCAAAUCUGGAGGCCCAGGUCCCAGGGAGAGGCUUCAUCUCAAAAAUAAUGUGAAGGGCUCCCGAGGAAUCCUAUCUGUGGUUGAUCUCUGGUCUCCACACAUAAGCAGCCACACAUACACAUGUGCACAUGUGAGCACACAUGUGGAAACACGAAGUAAAUAAAGAGCUCCGAGCUGUUAGAAGUGACUUCCAUUGAUCUUUUCCCAAAAUACUGCUCACUCAACUCUGUUUCAUUGUUUUAUUAGUUCCUUGUAAGCCACGUACUUUCCUUUAUUUCAAAGGGACUUUUUUUUUUCCUGUGAAAUUUAGGACUUAUUUUGCCUUGAAUGAAAAUAAUCAUAAUGUAUAAAAGUAAAAUGUCGACAAUUUAAUUUUAUGUCAGAAACACAAUUAGUAUUCUUCCUCAGACUAUACAACGAAGGGGGUGAUACUUUGAAUGCUAUCUGCUUCUCACUGAAGUAGGUGUGUUUCAAGGGUCUUCCUUGAGCAGGCAAUAGAGCCAUCUCCAAUUCUUUACUACCUUGAGCUCAAAGUUCAGGCUCAAUCAAAAAUAUUCUUGAGUGCAAUGCAGAUACUGUGUCAUGCCUCUGAAUUGUCAGCCCUGAUGGCACACAGUGAGCUGGUUUCUAGUCUAAAUGCACCUCUACAAAACAGUAUUUGUUUUUAGAUAGCUUUUCAUACUCACCCAUGGUAUUUAACCAUUUUUAGCAAAAGCAGGAUAUCAAACAGACAUAUCUCCGUGGUAGAGGAUAUGUUGGUAUGCUGGGAGCUGUCUGUUCAAUCACAAACACACUCAUGCAUGUGUGCAUACACACACACAAGAAUACUUACAAAUAUGAACUAGAGAAUAUUUUUGAUCUAUAGAUAAAACUAUAUUUGGAGGACUGGUGUCUUGGCUCUGAGGGUUAACUCGAAUUCAAUGGUCAAGCCCUGGAACCCACAGAAAGCUAGAUGAAUGGCUAAUACUUACAAUUCUAGCAUGCCUAAGGGAAGAUGGGAGGAACAGAAAACUAGCCUAGUUAUUCAUGAGCAGGCCUGUUUGGGGUAAACAGAGCUGCAGAUACAAGAGAGACUCUGCCUCAAUAAAGUAGAAGAGUGCCAUGCCUGGGUCCAUCUGUGUGUGUGUGUGUGUGUGUGUGCAUGAGCCUGUGUGUGUGUGUGUGUGUGUGUGUGUGUGAAUGCUCUACCACACAAUCACACUCACUGUAACACAUAAAACUAAAAUUAAAAAAGUGAAAAGUCUGUAUUUGGAAACUAUUUGAUUCUCUGUUCAUUGAGGCCUUAUAAUAUAUACCCUCAUAUAACUUUCCCAACAUUCCUGGGUGUUUUUUUAAAAAUUGAACAUCUAAAAGGUCAAUUCAAAUAAAACCAGAUCACCGGGAGUAUCAUUUACGACUAAAUUCUAAGCCAGCAAAUGUCUCGGGUUUACAAAUUUGAAUGAAUAAAAUACCGCUGAGCUGAACGCCUGUCAAGAGAAAUUAAACCAAUCGCAAGUUUUAUUUGGAGUGACAUUUUCAAUGAGUUAAAACAACCUUAGUGUGGUGCUUUAAACAUGUCUGCUACACACAGCCCCCACCCUCACAUACAUGCAUAUGUGCUGUGAGGGUGUGUACGUGUGUUCAGGUGUGGUUACAUAAAUCUUUGCAUGUGAGCAUGUGUCUCUGUGUGUGAAGUUUUCAAGUAUCUUCCUGCAUGUUGAGAAAAGAUCUCUGAAUUGGAGAUUGGUGAUUCAUCUAAUCUAGCUAGCCAACUCAUUCUAGGUACCCUUUCUCUGCCUCCAGAUCACUGGGUAUACAGGCAGGCUGCCUUGCUCACCUAGCACUCAUGUGGGUACUGGGGGUCUGAACUUGGUUCCUCUCACUUUCUUACUGAGCAUCGCUGUGGGCCUUCAAAUAUUGGUUUUUACAUGCAUGUCCUCUUCCCUAUUAAGUCUAAUUCAGACGCUGUUAUUAAAGUUCAGGUGCAAAUGAACUUAAGAAUAGGACAGACAUGGGUGUAGUGGUAUUGCUCUGUUCUGAAUACCAAAUUGUCUUUUCACAAGAGUAAAAAAUUUUAAUAUAAACAGCAGUGAGUUAUUAAUGCUUAUCUCUUUGCUAUAGUGACAGAUUGUUUCAGCUGGCCUAAUCAUAAUCUUUGGUUCUUAUUAGGUAUAUUUGUGCUGUUUAUGAAAUCCUUUCGUUUUUACCUUUAUAUUCCUUUGUUAUGUAAUAUAAAAGUUAAAACUGGUUAUAAUUUGUAAAUAUUUCACUCAAAAGUAAAAAUGAGUGCUCUGGGCUCACUAACACUAUUUUUCAAUAAAAGUAAUCAGAGAUCUUUGAGGAAAUAGCUGGUUUGGGGGUCAGAAAACACACCAAAGGAAUAGAGAACAUCUUUGGAGAGCCAGAAAAAAAAUCCUUAAAAUGAGAGGAGUGUGUCAAAGAGACAUUGGCAUCAAUCAACAGAGCCACCCAAGGCCCACACUGGAAGGAUGAGAGAGAAGGAAACAUCAGAUAACCUUGGAUUAACAGUGAACUGUGUGAGCUAUUUAUCUCAGUCCUGAGACAGAACACCCGACAAAAGCCACUCAGAAGCCAGAGGUGACAGAGUCUAGCAUGGAGGGGUGGGGGUGGCAACAGGAGGAGGAGGUGGCAGAUCAUGGUGCAUCAAUAGUCAGGAAGCAGAAAGUGAUGAAUUCCAGGGCUUAGCUUGGUCUCUUCUUUUCAUGCAGUCUGUGAUCGAAGCCCAUGGCACAGUGCUGACCACACUUAGAGCCAGGUUUUUACAGUUCAUUUAACCUAAUCUAGACAGUCCUUCACAAACGUGGCCUGAAGCUUGUCUGGUUAGUGAUUUUUAUUAAAUCUCACCUACUAAUAUUUAGAUCUCGAUAUUAAGCAUCACAUGACUCAUAGUAUAAAACAAAUGCCCAUAUGUUCAUGAUGACAGUAAAUGAAGUAGAGUUAUAAAUAUUCACUGUAAAAGAGAAAUCAACCUUUGGGAUAUGGAGCCUGGACAGUGACAUAGGCCACUAAAAGUGAGCCUUUGACUGUUUUAUCCCUCUGCUUCAGUUUUGGCUCACUGCUUCCUGGUCUGGUCACCAUGGGAACAGCAAUGAGCAAAUGUCCCCACUGUGGAGCUCCUAUGCCCUGUCCACCUUACAUCAUGUAUCCACUGGAACUGUGAGCCAUGAAGAACUUUUCCUCCCAGAUGUUUUUUUUUCUAUCCUAUAUUUUAUCUUAACGAUGUUGGGAAAAAAAAAGCUAAAAGUAAAAUAUAAAAGGUGGAUAGAAGGUACCCUUAUAGGAAUAAAACCUGUUGCGCGCUGCCUCAGCCAGAAGUUCAAAGACAGUGUCAGCCACCAUAUGCUCUGUUGAUAGCAUGCAUUAAUAUGAUCUUAUGAGACCAGCACUUGAUUUAACAUUUCCCCCUCCCAAGCCAGUGAGCCCCAGUUAGCUAUAAGAAAAAUAUAUGGGAAAUUUCAAUAAAGCAGUCUAUAAAAUAUCUGACAAGUAUUCCCCAAACAGCUGUAGCCCUCAAACACAAGAAAAUAAACUUCCAUAACUAAGAGGAGCCAAAGGAGGAAUGAUUAAAUGUAAUAUGAUAGUCUGGAAAGGAUCCCAGGACAGAAGAAGGUUAGUAGGAAGAAAGGAGGAGAGAACAUGGGGUUUAGUUAUAAUGUCAUUAUCAAUGAGCUUAAUUAUAGUGGGAUACCAUCUAAGUUUUACUAUUAAGCAUGAAACGUAAGUCUUGUCUUCAUAGGUUUUCUCUAAGUAUCAAAUUGAUCUAAAAUAAAAGGUUUGGUUGAAAAAAAUAGAAAUGGAAAUCUUGUUCAGUCUAUUUACACUUUAAUGUGAAUCUGUCAAUAGGCAUAAAACAUAAGUCUCCUGUGAUGCAUACACACCCAUCUUCUUCUAGUUUAGGGGCUGUGGGCUAAUUCUGCAGUAUGUGUGGGUCUGGCAACCCAGAGUUAGCUGUCUGAACCUGUUUUCUCAUUAUUAGCAAAUAAUGAGUUUUCUAGAGAGAUCUGUUUCUUAGCAAGACAGAGGUGAACAUAAGAGAAGAAAGAUCUUGGGAGAAAGGCAAAAGAUAUGGUGGGACCUGGAGACUCAGGGUAUCUUCUGCUAAGUUCAUGGCAAGAAUCUAGAUGAUGCUGGGGUCAAUGCCGUAUUAGAACAGUGUUCACUAAGACGCAGUUUACAUAGACCAAACCAUCCUAGAAGAUUGCACCCCAAGGGAGGAUCUUGCUAACUGUCAGCGUCCGUCCAAGGCCAUCCUCCGGUCUGCUGUGCACCGAAGUAAGCAUCCAUGGCCUCUGAGUUGGGAAAUAGAGGCCCAAGAUGGGCCUGAUCACUCGCAAAGCCCUCUUCCACACUUGCAUCCUGAGCUAAACUGUAAGUCCUUACCAGCCUUAGAAUCUGUUUCUACUCAGGUUGUAUACGUUCCUCUGAGAGUUUAUCACAUCAUAUUUCUGAUUACUU